UACGUAGGGGGCAAGCGUUGUCCGGAAUCAUUGGGCGUAAAGAGCGUGUAGGCGGCCAGAAAAGUCCGCUGUGAAAACUCGAGGCUCAACUUCGAGCUGUCGGUGGAAACUUUCUGGCUAGAGUCCGGAAGAGGAGAAUGGAAUUCCUGGUGUAGCGGUGAAAUGCACAGAUAUCAGGAAGAACACCCGUGGCGAAGGCGGUUCUCUGGGACGGUACUGACGCUGAGACGCGAAAGCGUGGGGAGCGAACAGG
rnacentral:rRNA from 1 species